rnacentral:lncRNA from 1 species
GUCACAAAUUUUUUUCGGUUACAAUUCAAAAAUUUUAUAGAUCACAGUUUGUUCGUCGAUCACAAAUAAAAAGGUUUAUGAGUCACGAUUUAUUUAUUGGUCAUAAAUUACAAAUAUUACAAGUCAUAAUUUAUUAUACAGUCACAAAUUAUCAAAUUAUCAGUCAUAAAUGAACAAUUUUUUGGGUCACAUUAUUUCUUUGUUACAAUUUAUAUUUUUUAUUGGUCACGGAUUGUUUAUUGGUCACAAAUUAACUAAUUUAAUGGUCACAUUCAAUCAACUAAUUUGUGACCACCAUUGACACCUGCGACACCACCUCACCAUUGCCUCUAGCAGUAGCACCACCAUCGUCGUUGCUGUCGCCACUAGCACCACCAUCGUCGCUCCUGUCGCCACUACCACCACCAUCAGACAGCAAUACCACCACCACAAACAAUCAACACAUCCUAGAAAAACAUCAUUAUAUCAUCGUGCCAAAUUCACCACCACCUCGACAAAUCCAUUUGCCACUGCACCCACCGCUUCGAUUGCCACCGCCAAAAUAUAAAAGCUGCCACCGCCACCACUCCAACAACCAAACCAAUGUCUCACAGCCAUUAAACCAUCUGUACCACCAUCGCAUUGCAAACGCCAUAUCCACAACCAUCACCACAACAUCCAAAUCUGCUACCGCCAGAUCCACCAUCUUCACCGCAACCACUCACCGUACGCCGCUGUCGCCAGAUCCACCACCACCUGCACCAACUACAGCUUCACAUCAAUGCGUUGUCUGAUCACCAUCAUCGCGCUUCACAAAGUUGCGCCACCACAUCCGCCACUACAAAACCGCUACCACACAACACUAUCACCACCACCACAAAAAAAAAACCCAAAUCUCUGGUGCACUGUCGGCGCAGCAAGGCUACAUCUGUUCGCGGUGAUUCGUACUUCUUUUGGCCAGCGAUUCGCAUUCAUUCUAGGGUGAAAAAGAUUGAGGGGUAAGUGAUGGGACUGGGCGACGACGGUGAUUGGCGGUGAGCCUCAUAACCACCAUCACCCAACGCACAACUGUGAGGUGGGGGUGGUACCGUGCUGGUCACUUAGGAUUAGCCUUCGCGAUGGUAGGAUGGGAUGGUGACGGUGGGUUGUUAUACACUCAUACCCAAGACUGUGAGGUGGGGUGGUGUCGGGAGAGUUGGUGCCGCGCCGAUGAUGGCGCCGAUAUUAGUUGAGUCUAGGGGAGAGAGAGAGAUUGAGGGAGAGAGAAUUGAAACUAGGGUUAAGGGCGUGUGUGUGGGUUGGGGUAAAAUGAUA